rnacentral:rRNA from 1 species
UACGUAGGGUGCAAGCGUUGUCCGGAAUUAUUGGGCGUAAAGAGCUCGUAGGCGGUCUGUCGCGUCGGCUGUGAAAACCCGAGGCUCAACCUCGGGCCUGCAGUCGAUACGGGCGAACUGGAGGCCAGUAGGGGGAUGCGGAAUUCCGGGUGUAGUGGUGGAAUGCGUAGAGAUCCGGAGGAACCCCAGAGGCGAAGGCGGCCACCUGGGUCAGUUCUGACGCUCAGACACGACAGCAUGGGGAGCGAACGGG